rnacentral:rRNA from 1 species
CCGGCACGGGUGAGUAACACGUAUGCAAUCCACCUGUAACAGGGGGAGUAACCCGGAGAAAUCCGGACUAAUACCCCAUAAUAUGGGCGCUCCGCAUGGAGAGCCCAUUAAAGAGAGCAAUUUUGGUUACAGACGAGCAUGCGCUCCAUUAGCCAGUUGGCGGGGUAACGGCCCACCAAGCUCGAUGGAUAGGGGUUCUGAGAGGAAGGUCCCCCACAUUGGAACUGAGACACGGUCCAA